rnacentral:rRNA from 1 species
GUGUCAGCAGCCGCGGUAAGACGAACCGUGCGAACGUUGUUCGGAAUCACUGGGCUUAAAGGGCGCGUAGGCGGGCCGCAAAGUCAGGGGUGAAAUCCUCCAGCUUAACUGGAGAACUGCCUUUGAUACUGGCGGCCUGGAGUAAGGUAGGGGCGUGCGGAACUGAUGGUGGAGCGGUGAAAUGUGUUGAUAUCAUCAGGAACUCCGGUGGCGAAAGCGGCACGCUGGACCUUCACUGACGCUGAGGCGCGAAAGCCAGGGGAGCAAACGGGAUUAGAUACCCCCGUAGUCC